rnacentral:rRNA from 1 species
AGGCAAUAGGAGGAUGGCGAGGCAUCCCCUGGGCCUGUACUGACGCUCAUGCACGAAAGCGUGGGGAGCAAACAGUGAUUAGAUACCCUGGUAGUCCACGCCCUAAACGACUNUCAACCUGGUUGUUCUGUUUUCCAUCNCANUCNAGUAACGAAGCUAANCGCGUGAAGUUGANCCGCCUGGGGAGNUACGGCCGCAAGGUUGAAACNUCAAANGGAAUUGACGGGGACCCGCACAAGCGGUGGAUGAUGUGGUUUAANUUCGAUGCAACGCNGAAAAACCUUACCCACCUUUGACAUGUACNGGAAUCCUUUAGAGAUAGAGGAGUGCUCGAAAGAGAGCCGUAACACAGGUGCUGCAUGGCUGUCGUCAGCUCGUGUCGUGAGAUGUUGGGUUAAGUCCCGCAACGAGCGCAACCCUUGCCAUUAGUUGCUACGAAAGGGCACUCUAAUGGGACUGCCGGUGACAAACCGGAGGAAGGUGGGGAUGACGUCAAGUCCUCAUGGCCCUUAUAGGUGGGGCUACACACGUCAUACAAUGGCUGGUACAGAGGGUUGCCAACCCGCGAGGGGGAGCUAAUCCCAUNAAAGCCAGUCGUAGUCCGGAUCGCAGUCUGCAACUCGACUGCGUGAAGUCGGAAUCGCUAGUAAUCGCGGAUCAGAAUGUCGCGGNGAAUACAUUCCCNGGUCUUGUACACACCGCCCGUCACACCAUNGGGAGCNGGNGUUCUGCCAGAAGUAGGUAGCCUAACCGUAAGGAGGGCGCUUACCACGGCAGGGUUCGUGACUGGGGUGAAGUCGUAACAAGA